AUGAAAACAAACUGAGCAGUGACAAUUUUCUACAAAAUUUUAUUGACAAACAAACAAUCUCUUCUAUAUUUAAUAUACACACUUUUAUUCUAUUUUUACUUUAGACACAUAUAAUCUGACCUUGUACCUUAUUUACACCCUCUCACAUUUGCCAAACACAGUCAACUUGACUGAAGUCAACCAGCACUUUACAGUGUUAUCUGAAACAUUUAAUGAAAACUGUCAGCCAAAUGUUGGCUCUUUGUUGACCAACAGUGGGCCGACAAACAGCUGACAGUCAACCGACAGUUGGCCAACAAACUUUUGACAAACACUCAACAAUAUAUUCUGGGAACUGUUCUUAACUUUUACCGAAUUUUUCACAGGUUUUGUAAUGGGAACUGCCUAGCACAACCAUAGUUGGCAAACUUAAGUACAGUAUGUAAAAUAUAUGUACAACACUGAUAAUAAGAGCAGGGCAAACAGCUAGUGCGAGUAUGUAGGUCAGAGACUAUAAAUCCAUUAAACGUUGACUGAGGCAACAAAACACAUCCAUACCCUCCCCAUGGAAGGUGAAAACCACAAUUUGUAAAUGUGGCUAAAUGUAAUUUAGGCCAAGUUAAAAGUGAAACAAGAUUCCUGGCCAGCAGUCUCCCUCAGAGUGAGUUUGGGGUGGCCAGGGGAUUUGUGCAGGGGCGGAUCGAUUUUACAGCUUGGCUAUGGAUGUCAAAUCAUUCCAUCUUUUUUUUGCUGCUGGUCAGUGCUUGUUAAGCUUUUCUCACAGUCCACCUGUCUCCCUUUGGCUUGAGGGUAAGUAUGUGGUAAGUAUCCUGUGUUUCCACUAUUUUUUCAGUGUGAUGGUGUCUGGUGGUUGCCGCUCACAGGGUUGUUAUGGCUACCCUAAGUGCUCGGUUUAGUUUGCUCUCGGGCUCCACCAUCCUUUCAGGCGCCAUUCCCCAAGCUCAUCGUUUGUUGAUGAGUUUAAAGGUAGGUUUGUCGCAGAGCUGGAAAGUUCUGGAAGGGUAGAUGAGGUUGGGGCUCAAACCAAAAACACAUCUAGGUGUGGGAGGGAGUCAUGGAUAUUUUCUGGGAAAACACUCUUAGAGUUUUGCAUUGAUUUGAGUUACCGUUGUUUUAAAGAAUGGAAUACUGAACUCAUGGAAUGUUGGAAGGAAUUAUUGCCAUGUUUUUGUGCCAACUUCACUUUGCAUAUCUCUAAAAGGUGCUGUAAAACACUCACAGAUGUUAUGGAGUGGCAACUGCACUGGCUAGUAUGAUGUGCAUCAUGGUAAGAGGCAUUUAUUCAAAAGCACUACUACAUCAUCUACAAGCACUACUACAAGCUUAACUGAACUGAUGAUUAUAAACCUUCCUUGACACACCAAAUGUCAUGCAGUAGGUGACACUUUUACUUGACUUUUAAAUAGACCUUUUUGGCUUGGGCAGUUUGUUGCCCCAUUUCAGAUCAUGGGUAGAUAUCUUUGAGAAUUCUUAUUUUCAUAUAGUCGCAUGUAUAUGAAGGAAUAAUUUUUAGAUGGAUAAACAAGCAAUUCUCCAGAGAAUAUCACAUGGUCUGCAAUGGAAAACAAACUGCCUAAGCUAAAGAGGUCUAUUUGACAAUGACUUUUGUUUACUCCUUACAUGCAAUAGGCAAUAAAAUGACUCACCAAAUUAUUUAAAUAAAAAAAAACUGUUAUUGAUGCUCAAAACUUAUAAAAAAAA